AAGGGCGGGAGCGCGGGGGGCUGGGGCUGGGCCGGGGGCGGCCCACCGCACCUGGGCUCUGCUCAGGGGGAGGCCUCACCGUGCGCCCCGGGGGAUGCCCGAGGCGUGGCGUCUGGCCGGGCUGGGGAAGGGUUCGCGUCGGUGCGAGGGGGGAGGCCGCAGCGGGGCUGUUGAGGGGUGAGGGCAGGUGGCGCUGGGCGGGUGCUGGGCCGCAGGAGGGACGGGGACUGCGGUGUGCAGCAGCCGCUGCGUGUGCUGGGCGUGAGGCAGUGGCUGUUCGGGCAGCUGUGCUGGAGGGAGCGUACCCAGAGUUUUGCCAGAGAUCCUCAAGUUUGUUUCUUGUUGCGAUUGUAUUAUUAUUUCUAUUAUGGCCAGGCACCCUCCUUCUCUGAGGGAUGGGUCCCAGCCAGGAGGGACAUACGUCAGGCACCUGCCUGGACCAGAGCCCUCCCGCCUCCACUGGUGGCAUUGCGAGGCAGUUACUCUGCGAGCGCUCUCUACCUUUGGCACAGGCCCAGCGGCACAGUUCUGAGGAAUAUGCAGCUAUGGUGUGGAUCACGCGUGUCGCCGUGCACCUGGCAGUUCAUGUGAGAGCUGUGUUUGCAGGCUUGCAGUUUUUUGGUAUAAUCUGAGACAAAUACCCCAGCUGUCGGACAGGCAUUGCACCAUCAGCUUUCCGAGUGGUUACGGGGACUGGCGUGGGUGGAGAACUGCCUCAGCUUGCUCUGGUAAUGAGAACAGAGAUUGAGAUGAGUUAAUAAAGCAUGUAAGCAGGGGCCCUGCAAAACCGAGGAGACUUAGCGCUUGCUGUGCAUUCCUGUGACUAAGCAAGUGCUCAAGAUCUGUGUUUAAUAACUUGACACUUGGAUAGUUUUCCUAUGGAGAAAUGAUGCCGGAUUUGGGAGGUUGGUGUGAAUUAGGACAUGCUAGCUUCAUACCCACCCUGGGAGGAAAGAGCUGAGAGAGAAUAUGAACUUAAAACGUCAUAGAACACCACUGAGUGAAUAAAGAUACCGGGCUGAGGGAAACCAGGCAAUGUCCUGGAGCCUAGCACUGUUCCUUAGCUGAAAGAGUAUCUGGGGUGCUGCAAACAUGCAGGGUAGACCAGCCCCUGCCAUGUUUUCACAGUGACUGAUUCAGCGCUGCUCCCCAUCAUACUUAAUGCAAAUUAUGUUGUGUAAUAGUUUGUAUAUUUAUGACUGUGUGGCCAGAGCUGCCUGUUUCUACUCAUGUCUCUCUUGCCUGAAGUGAGUGAACAGAGCAGAUUGGAACAGGCCUGAGGUCUAGCUACAGAAGCUGGACAAGUAUCCUGUGAGAAGUGCACAGUAUUCUGCAUUUUUAACAUUAGAUUUUUUUUUCCAUCUACAUUGCAGAGUGGCUUAACCUCUGACACAGGAGCUGUAACAUCCAGUUGUAAUGAUGACAACUGUGGCAAUUCCUUAUAUCCAAAUGUUGGAUGUGGGUUGGCAUGGAGCUGGGCUGCUGUAACCCUGAGCAGGCAGAAUGAAGUUUAGAAACUCUUUAGUUUGGAAAAAGGAU
rnacentral:lncRNA from 1 species